GACGGACCGUACGAACGUUAUUCGGAAUUACUGGGCUUAAAGGGUGCGUAGGCGGCUCAGAAAGUUGAAUGUGAAAGCCCUCGGCUUAACCGAGGAAUUGCAUCCAAAACUACUGGGCUUGAGUGAGACAGAGGUGAGCGGAACUCACGGUGGAGCGGUGAAAUGCGUUGAUAUCAUCAGGAACACCGGAGGCGAAAGCGGCCCAACUGGGUCUUUUCUGGACGUCUG
rnacentral:rRNA from 1 species